rnacentral:piRNA from 1 species
UUGGAUGUUCUAGACAAACCACUCCUGC